UGGCCGAUAGCUUAACGGUAAAGCUGCCCGCUGUUAACGGGAGGAGUCCAGGUUCGAAUCCUGGUCGGCCAG
rnacentral:tRNA from 1 species